CCUACGGGUGGCAGCAGUGAGGAAUAUUGGUCAAUGGACGCAAGUCUGAACCAGCCAUGCCGCGUGCAGGAAGACGGCUCUAUGAGUUGUAAACUGCUUUUGUACGAGGGUAAACGCAGAUACGCGUAUCUGUCUGAAAGUAUCGUACGAAUACGGAUCGGCUAACUCCGUGCCAGCAGCCGCGGUAAUACGGAGGAUUCAAGCGUUAUCCGGAUUUAUUGGGUUUAAAGGGUGCGUAGGCGGUCGGAUAAGUUAGAGGUGAAAUCCCGAGGCUCAACUUCAGAAUUGCCUCUGAUACUGGUCGUCUAGAGAGUAGUUGCGGUAGGUGGAAUGUAUGGUGUAGCGGUGAAAUGCUUAGAGAUCAAACAGAACACCGAUUGCGAAGGCAGCUUACCAAGCUACUUCUGACGUUGAGGCACGAAAGCGUGGGGAGCAAACAGGAUUAGAUACCCGGGUAGUC
rnacentral:rRNA from 1 species